UUGUGCCCUGCGAUGGACUGGCACCCUGUCCAGGGUGUACCCCGCCUUGUGCCCGAUGCUUCCUGGGAUAGGCUCCAGGUUCCCCGCGACCCUGAAGAAGGAGUAAGCGGUAGAAGAUGGAUGGAUGGAUGGAUGGAUAUAUACACAUUGGGGGGAAAUAAGUAUUGGAUGCGUCAACAUUUUUUUCAGUAAAUAUAUUUCCAAUGAGGCUGUUCACAUGAAAAUUUUCACCAGACAUCAGUAUUAACUCAAGAAAUCCGGAAAUAUAAAGAAUUCACAACAUUGAUGUUCAUAAAUAAGGUUAUAAAGUGGAAUGACACGGGGAAAAAAGUAUUGAACACGCUAAGAAAAAGCAGUUCUCCAAGGUAAGGUAAAGUAAAGUAAACUAAGGUAAAGUAAAGUAAGGUAAAGUAAAGUAAUUUAAAGUAAGGUAAGUAAAGUAAACUAAGGUAAAGUAAUUUAAAGUAAAGUAAAGCAAGGUAAAGUAAUUUAAAGUAAUUUAAAGUAAGGUAAAGUAAGGUAAGGUAAAGUAAGAUAAAGUAAGGUAAAGUAAAGUAAUUUAAAGUAAAGUAAAGUAAUUUAAAGUAAGGUAAGGUAAGGUAAAGUAAGAUAAAGUAAAGUAAGGUAAGGUAAAGUAAACUAAGGUAAAGUAAUUUAAAGUAAGGUAAAGUAAGGUAAAGUUAAGUAAGGUAAGGUAAAGUAACGUAAAGUAAAGUAAAGUAAGGUAAGGUAAAGUAAACUAAGGUAAAGUAAUUUAAAGUAAGGUAAAGUAAGGUAAAGUAAACUAAGGUAAAGUAAUUUAAAGUAAGGUAAAGUAAAGUAAGGUAAAGUAAAGUAAGGUAAAGUAAUUUAAAGUAACGUAAAGUAAGGUAAAGUAAGGUAAGGUAAAGUAAGGUAAAGUAAUUUAAAGUAAGGUAAAGUAAAGUAAAGUAAAGUAAGGUAAAGUAAGGUAAGGUAAAGUAAAGUAAGGUAAAGUAAGGUAAGGUAAAGUAAGGUAAAGUAAAGUAAGGUAAAGUAAUUUAAAGUAAGGUAAAGUAAAGUAAGGUAAAGUAAAGUAAAGUAAGGUAAAGUAAUUUAAAGUAAGGUAAAGUAAGGUAAAGUAAAGUAAGGUAAAGUAAGGUAAAGUAAAGUAAGGUAAAGUAAGGUAAGGUAAAGUAAAGUAAGGUAAAGUAAAGUAAGGUAAAGUAAUUUAAAGUAAAGUAAAGUAAGGUAAAGUAAGGUAACGUAAAGUAAAGUAAGGUAAAGUAAAGUAAGGUAAAGUAAUUUAAAGUAAAGUAAAGUAAGGUAAAGUAAAGUAAGGUAAAGUAAAGUAAGGUAAAGUAAAGUAAAGUAAGGUAAAGUAAAGUAAGGUAAAGUAAUUUAAAGUAAAGUAAAGUAAAGUAAGGUAAAGUAAAGUAAGGUAAAGUAAAGUAAGGUAAAGUAAGGUAAGGUAAAGUAAAGUAAAGUAAGGUAAAGUAAAGUAAGGUAAAGUAAGGUAAAGUAAAGUAAGGUAAGGUAAAGUAAAGUAAGGUAAAGUAAGGUAAGGUAAAGUAAGGUAAGUUAAGGAACCAGCUGAAUUGUUAAUAGGCAUUAUAGCAGCAAUCUGUGCAGCUGUUCCUUGUUAUAUAUGGAGAAGACAGAUUUCAUCAACUAUUCUGUUUUAUAUUGAGCGAGCAGUGUUUAUUAUACAAAUAUGUGGACAAUAUAAAGCCAAACUAGCAUUAGCACUAGCCUGUAUACUUUUCUGAAUGAGCUCGUGAAUGAGCUUCAUGUACUUAGCGGAAAAGCAAAAUGACGAUUAGGGGAUUUUGAUUAAAGGGAUUUUAAGGACCUAUUAGGACCUGCUGCACAUUUUCACCGGAGAGUUUGAAACGAUAACGACGCUACAGAUGAUCAAAUUAGCACUAGUCCUAAAAUGGAAGUAGUCGUGAUUAGCGCUUUGGAAGCACGGACAUUUUAGUUAGCAGCCGUUGUUUGCUUUCAGAUCAGAGUUUUAUUUUUUAAAGCGACAGUCGUGGAUCGGGUAUCAUCGUGGCGGACAUGAUGACAAUGCGUGCACUAAAUUUAAUCAUGUACUGAGAAACGUUUAGACGGGAUGCAGAGAGUUUACGAAGAAGCUCUGUAUAACAUUGGCAUAGCAUUAUCUUAUCUAAAGUUGCUAGGCUGGAGAGCGGUCAGGCUUUUUGGCUUCAUACAAAGAACUGAAUGUAAGAUAAGACUUCUUUACAGAAAAAAAUAUCGCGUGAGGAAAAGAAUAAAGCUAUUUAAGUGCUAGUAUAAAUUUCUUCGCCUUGAUACGUGGAGUAUUCAUGAAAACUCAUUUGAGUCCUGGGGAAUUAGAGGCAAUUUGAGCAAACUGCUGUUAAUGUAUUGUGUUAUUUUCUGAAAAUUAAAAAUAAAAAUAAAGUGCAUUGCCCCCGAGAGUGGCUUAGAUUUUAGCAUUACUUUAUAAAAAAAAAAAAACUAAACAAAAAAAAAAACAUUACAAGUUGAUUUAUUGAUUAACUCAAUAUUAUUGUGAAGGAUUUUCUGGAUAUGAAUUCAUAUAUGAUUAAAUAAAGCAAUAUUCC